ACAGGCUUAACAGGAAGCAUAACUGGGAGGCCUCAGGAAAGUUACAAUCAUGACAGAAGGUGAAGGGGAAGCAAGCAGCUUCUUCACAUGGCAGCAGGCAAGAGAGUGAGGGGGUGUGAUGUUUGAUAUUGAGUGUCAACUUGAUUGGAUUGAAGGAUGCUAAGUAUUGCUCCUGGGUGUGUCUGUGAAGGUGUCGCCAAAGGAGAUUAACAUUUGAGUCAGUGGACUGGGAGAUGCAGACCCUCCCUCAGUCUAGGUGGGCACAAACUUAUCAGCUGCCAGCAUGGCUAGGAUACAAGCAGGCAGAAGAACAUGCAAAGACUAGACUGGCUUAGUCUUCUGGCCUCCAUCUUUCUCCUGUCCUGGAUGCUUCCUGCCCUCGAACAUCAGACUCCAAGUUCUACAGCUUUGAAACUCUUGGACAUUUGAUGACAGACUAAAGGCUGCACUGUUGUCUUCCCUACUUUCGAGGUUUUAGGACUCAGACUGGCUUCCUUGCUCCUCAGCUUGCAGAUGGACUAUUGUGGGACCUCACCUUGUGAUCAUAAGCUGAUAAAAAUAUCUGAAGCCUAGAGAUGUUAGGAGCUGUUACACAGAGCUUCCAAGUGACUCCUGCUGGCAUUUUGGCACUUCCUUGCCCAACCCAGGGCUUCUUCCUGGUCAGUGAAUAAAUGGGUCCUGCCCAGCCAAUGAGGAACCUGCAGAACCAGGUCUGGCACAUGUCCUUCUAGUUGGUUGAUUAUUGAGCCAUUGCUGAUGCGCUUGAACAUCACCCCUGCCUACUCAUGCUGUGACUCGUUGAUUCCAGAGGGCACUGUGAGAUGUUGUCUUGGAAGGUCAUCCACACUAUUCUUACCUGAAAAAAAUGGUUUUCUGAUUUUUGGCACAUCAAUGGCCUAGAAGCCUCUCUUCUGAUACUUUGACGGGGAACACAAACUUUUUUUCCAAAAGCGAAGACAAGAUUGCAGAGAAUUGUUGCUUUCCACGCAGCAGCAGAUGUUGUCAAAUGUGUGAAUUUGUUUGAAUCAUGGACCAGGAAACAAACGUGAAGUAGAAGAAUUGCCACUCCCCUCAUUGAAGCAGGGAGCCAUCUACAUCAUGACGCAGCCCCAGAACUCACUCCGAUCUGAACUAAACAGAGUGAGGCAAAGACAUUUUGGUAUUUUAUAGUCACAGCGUCUCAUCCAUCUAUUGAAGACUAAUUUUGAAGUUUUUUGUUUCUUUGAAACAUCAUGAAAGAUCCUAGGUUCUGAUAUCAUUAAAUGGCUACCUGGGGAGGAAAAAGAUGCAAAUCUCAUGAUUUUGCAUUGCCAGAGUGAAGCCAAAGAUAGCACCAGCCUGUAUAAAUUGCAGUAAAAUGCACACAGAUAGGAGGAUUCCAACACUGAGAGGUGUUGGGAUGUGUGUGAAUUUGAAAAUGAAAACACAGUUGGCAGAUCCUUAGCUUCUAGUAGCACAUAGAUUACACCGCAAUCCACAGUCUUUCAAAGCUUUCAAUUUGACUUGUUAAUAUUCAAGUCAAUUUGAAUAACAUUUAUUAAGGGCUAAUUACCCUGAAAUGGCGUGGGGAGAAUCUGCAAGGUUUGAUGAAAUUGGUGGUUCUCAGAUUUACAGUUUAUAUACCACUAUAAUUUUUAAGAUGCAGGGGUUUAAAUGAAGUUUCUGACUCUUUUGUCAAGUAAGAUGUCAUCACUAUAUUAUCUUUUAAAUGAAAGGAUAACUUAUGAACAACAACAAUUAAAAAAUAUAAUGAGGACAUAAUCUGAGAUGAGACUGUCCUUGAAACUGAAUAGCUUUAGCUUUGCAAAAACACUUCUUGGUUGUCCUGGGCUUCUCGUUUGGCCACAGAUUGGACCCCUCUUCACUCUGCCUGGGUCCAAAGCCCAGGUUCUGGGAAACUCUACAUUAGAUGACCUUUCAGGGUGUAAAUGAAAAAUAAAAUUCUAAGCCCCCCAACCAUCUGAAUAGACUCCUGCCUCUCAGCAAAGGACAUUCCAAACUUAACCUGAAAAACUAGUUUGGGCCAUGAUGGGAAGGGAGGGUGGGACAUGCCUCAUUAAGCCUUCUUCCCAUUUGGAAUUACUGAUAGAUCAGACUCUUUGAGUCUGAUAAGAAACAUUUACAAUCUAGUCUCUCUCUGAAGCCUGUUACCUGGAGGCUUCACCUACAUGAUAAACCUUGGUCUCCACAAACACUUGUCUUAACCCAGACAUUCCUAAGUCUUUAGUCAAUAACUUAACUCAUUCAACCAACUCCCAGUCAGAAAAUCUCUGAAUCUAACUAUGGCUACUUGCUUCCAGUUGUCCCACCUUUCUGAACUGAACCAUUGUGCAUCUUAAGUGUAUUGAUUGAUAUCUUACAUUUCCCUAAAAUGUAUAAAACCAAGUUAUGGCCUGACCACCUUGGACACAUGUUCUCAGAAUCUUCUCAGGGUUGUAUCUUGGGCCAUUGGUCACUUGUAUUAGGCUCAGAAUAAAUCUCUUCAAAUAUUU